rnacentral:SRP_RNA from 1 species
GUCGAACCUAGUAACGUGGGUUUAUGAUCCGAGUGGAGACAACAAGGUGAUGGUACAUUGGGUCGGAUCUCAAUGGGCCGGGUUCGGCUUGGGCUCUUUACUGGCCUGCCCAUUCCAAGUCGGGAGUUGAGAUAUCUUCUGAGCGAAGGUUCGGAGCCAAUAUCUCUUUAGAGCGGAGGAGACCGCGUGAGGCUGGUUUCACAGAGCAGCGUCCACCUUCCGUUCUCGACGGUGGAAGGAUAACGGGCCCGUUGUCUUCCGAGCCCACUAUGACCCAUUAGGCCGACUCCAACUGAGCCAUCACUUUU